rnacentral:lncRNA from 1 species
UUUGAGGGCUGAGAGUGGUGUUUGUUGUGAAAAAAUAAUAUGUAGUAGUUCUUUACUUCCCGGAAGUUGUAAUAAAACCCAUUACUCAGUAUUGUCUCCAGAGUGUAAAAAGAGUGGACCCCACAAAGAACAGAGUGAAAAGAGUCGUAACUAAUUGAGCAUUCCAACAAUUCAGAAAACUUCUCCAUUAGAUAUCUUUUUGAGUUUAUCCCAAGUGUUGUUGCUUUUGUCAUCCAGGUUAAGGGGAAAAACAGAGUGAAAAGAGUCGUAAAAAUGGCUCAAAACCAGAGCUCGAUUAGGAGGGCACUGACGCAUAUAAAAUAUGGUUUUGCUGAAUAUACAGAUAGAGGCAAGGAAAGGAAAGCUAAUCUUACUAGUAUAACUAAUACAACUUGUAAACAAAUCAUUAUCAAAUCAAAUAUUAAUGAAAAUAAACUAUUUAUAUAUUUUGACACAUUCAAUCAGAGAAAGAUUAGACCAACAUGUCUCAG